rnacentral:rRNA from 1 species
UUGGAAACGACUGCUAAUACCGCAUAAUGUCUACGGACCAAACGGGGCUUCGGCUCCGGCGCAAAGAGAGGCCCAAGUGAGAUUAGCUAGUUGGUAAGGUAACGGCUUACCAAGGCGACGAUCUCUAGCUGUUCUGAGAGGAAGAUCAGCCACACUGGGACUGAGACACGGCCCAGACUCCUACGGGAGGCAGCAGUGGGGAAUAUUGCACAAUGGGGGAAACCCUGAUGCAGCCAUGCCGCGUGUGUGAAGAAGGCCUUCGGGUUGUAAAGCACUUUCAGUUGUGAGGAAAAGUUAGUAGUUAAUACCUGCUAGCCGUGACGUUAACAACAGAAGAAGCACCGGCUAACUCCGUGCCAGCAGCCGCGGUAAUACGGAGGGUGCGAGCGUUAAUCGGAAUUACUGGGCGUAAAGCGCACGCAGGCGGUUUGUUAAGCUAGAUGUGAAAGCCCCGGGCUCAACCUGGGAUGGUCAUUUAGAACUGGCAGACUAGAGUCUUGGAGAGGGGAGUGGAAUUCCAGGUGUAGCGGUGAAAUGCGUAGAUAUCUGGAGGAACAUCAGUGGCGAAGGCGACUCCCUGGCCAAAGACUGACGCUCAUGUGCGAAAGUGUGGGUAGCGAACAGGAUUAGAUACCCUGGUAGUCCACACCGUAAACGCUGUCUACUAGCUGUGUGUGUCUUUAAGRCGUGCGUAGCGAAG